AUCUGGUUGUUAUUGUUCUACCCAGGUUAUUUUAUGUGUAAAAGGGAUAGCACCAGCAGGAACAAGUCCUGCUUGUUUUGGAAGAAACAGAUGCUCUGCAAACAGGAGACAGAGCAAAAAGCCUGGAAAUUGGGAAAUCUGCUGGAAAUCUCUCUGACAGUCAGAGGAAGUGCUGGAGGACUUGACUAUAUGGAGAAAGAGCCUGAAAAAUAUUAUUAUAGGGUGCACCGGACUGGGGCCCAGAUCUGCAUUUCAGUGGCUCUCUAAACUGUCUAAGUCUUGGGAAAAGACCUAUUUCCCAGUUCUCUUUCUGAAAGGCAGAAAACACCUCAUGUUUCACGUUUUUCCCAGCCUCCACAUGCUCCUGAACUGGUUGGAUGCAUUCCCUGGCACUCCUCAUCACUAUGCUGGAUCCUUUCAGACACCACUUACAGGAUACUGGGACCUGCAAUCUUGGGUACAACAGUGAAGCAGUAUCUGCAGAGGGAGAGAGCACUGCAUGGCACAGCUACUGCAAAGUGAUGGCACGGGAAAGGAUGAAAGGAUCCCUCUCACUACUCCAGACUUGGAUCCUGAGACAGACAUAAUUUGUGCAACACGUGUCAAAGCCUCUGGGACAAAGACGGGUAAAUAUAAUGCAGUACAAGCUGUGACACUUCACAGAGUCUUGUGAGGAACAUAUCGGUUGUGUCAGGAAGUUUGAUUUGGAUCUGAAGCUUUCCUAGUCAACUGUCAGCUUAGACCUACAUGGGAACGCCGUGGUGCAGGAAAUACUUCUGCUGGGAUGACAAGGAUAUGGCCAAAGAAGAUGAACACUAGCUUUAUAAGAGUCCCUUGUCAACCAAGAAUGAGGGAAAUGAAGUUCGUGAAAUUCUUUGAAAGAGAAGGGAUGAAGCUCAACAUUUCAAGAAAGCAUCCACUUACAGAAAAGAAAUGCGUGGAGGUUAAGAAAUAAUUACAAAUCAACUAUUAGAAUUACAAAUAUUUUUACCCUGUGCUGUUGCUAGUGGAUUGAAAAUUGAGCCCACUUGGACGAAUUAAAUGAAAUGUGGGAAGAAGACUAUUGGGAAGUGAUUAGCUGGUCCCUGUGUCCUGGAAGUCUGAUUCUGUGGCAAAUAUGAUGCAAAGAGCCAAACCCAAGAAGAUCCUAGACCCUUGGAGGGCCAGACCGAGUCUACCAUGACAGGGUCACCUGUAACAAUUUGCUAGCCUCCUGCCAUCAGAUCCAUAUCAAGCAAGGGCAUCUGGCAGCUCAUUUGGGAUGGGAACAGCUCCGUUUCACCACCUCUGCUGGCCUUCCGCGGGCAGAGAUGCCCUGUUACUGUUCCUGUCUGGUCACAUUCCCCACUCUCCUCACCCUGAAGCUAACAUCUCUGGACUGGCUGGAGUUGAUAAGUGACCUCAGACAGUGGUGGUUGAAAAGAAGAGACAGCUGCCAUGGUGUGCAGCAGAGCUUCCUGGCAAGGAUCUUAUACCUCUACAAGACUACAGCAAGAUGAGUCCCUUCACUAAUACAGAGCUUUGGGCAAAAAAUGUGCUCCAAGAGAGAAACUUACACCUCUGUCUUCGUUCUUCCUUGCCUUUGCAGACAGGCAGAGUUGGUGGUUCCCUGUGGCAGCAGUGGCUGGCAGACUGACUUGCUGGGACAAGGCACGUGGCAAAGCUCUCCCCAGUCCCCAGUCUCUGGUCCCCAGUCCCUGUCUGGCCAGUCUCUAUCUGCACAGAUGCUGGCAGAUACUUUAGGAGACAAUGAUUACUAAUCAGUUUCUUCCUCCUCAGCAACAACUAAGGAAACAAGUGUAGUUCUCCUUCCCAGGCUUGUCCCUUCUCCCUCUCACGUGAUCCUGGCCUGUUCCCACUCACAAAAUGUUCAGGUAGAUAGCCCAGAGACAACUUGGAAAAGCAAUCUUCCCCCAUACUGGUGUCUCCCAGCUUUUCCGACAGUUUUCCUCUAAAUAUUUUUUUUUGUUUUUGCAGAAUUGAAUUUUACCUGUAGUAAGGAUCAGCCUUGAGCUGACUUGCACUGUUAAACUCUGCUGAGAGCUGAUCCUGAAUUGCAGAUUUUGCCUGGAUUUUGCAGAGUUCUCUGAGGUCUAGACCUCCUGACACUGCACAAAAAGCCCUGAUGAGAUACCACAAAGGGGUAAUGAGCACUACUGCUUGGAGAGGGGGUAGAGACCCCAUCCCUGGAAAUGGGGAUGUUGGUGAGGCUCUGAGAAAUCUGGUUUAGUGGAAGAUAUCUUAGAUCUCAUUCCAAGGGGGUUGGACUAGAUGAACUUUAAAGGUUCCUUCUAACCCAAACUAUUCUAUGAUUCUAUGAAUCUGUGAAAGUGGCCUGAAUCCAACUGGCCUAGUUUGCAUGUAUGUUUGAAAUUUUAGGAGCCUGGGCAGAAGGAAAAAGAUGGAUGCAGGUACCUAAAUCCUUUUGUCAGUCAAUGCAAAGGUAUAAGCAAUGAUAAAGACUUCCAGAGGUUGCUCCUGCCUCCGUUAUUUGUGAUGCGUGAGAAAAGAAGAGGUGACUCACUGGAAAUGUUAGUUGUCUUCAUGCCUUUGAAAUCUGCUCCAUCACCUCCUUCUAAAGGCAGGAUUCUAGUACAGGAUGGUGCCAUUUGUUAUGUUAUGAACUAUGUGGCAGAACUUAGAGCACUGAUUUAAGAUGGGGAAUAUCUAUCUCUCAGCUUUCCUCUGUUGCAGGAAGAAAUUUUCUCCCAUUUCCCGUAUCUCCAGAGUGCCCUGAUUUGCUGUAUCCUGGACGAGAGUAAUCACCAACCCUUCUUUUCAAGCCAAGGCAUGGUACAGCCAAGCUGUUAAGAGUCACAUGGAAGAGACAGCAAACAGGAGGGAACCAUGCAUGGUCAGUCAUCAGGCAUGCACAAGUUUUGCCAUGGUUUUCUCCUGGUUUUUAUCCAGUCAUGCUGAACUCUACCAGCAGAUCUGCUCCAGCAUGGCGCAGCCAAAACAGCAACAGGGAAAUGGCUGCACCACCCUGGUGGUAUCAGAAGUCCUGGCUCAUCUGGAAGAGGGAGGGUGCAGGUGCUUGUUGGUCUGUGCUUGGGUUUCUUUAGGAUCAGUAGCCCUGAUCAUGCUGCCUGCACCAGCCACUGCAGCAAAGAAUGUGGGCAAAAUUCAGGCUAAGCCUGUGUGGAUUUAGCUGUCAGCAUCCAAAUAUGAGACUGUUGAAAAGGAGCAGUUUUGACAAACUGGACCAGUGUCUGAUAUUUGUAAACCAGCGUGUGUCUGUGUUCAUAUUUAUUCACACCAUUCUUCAAUGUUUCAGUUCCUAGAUUGGUGUGAGGAUAGUUCCUUGGAAAUUAAUAACUGUUAGAGCUUUGUGGCUCAGUGAGUUGUUUACUUCCUUACAUCAUUAAUACUAUCCUUGUAGGGAGGAGGAGUGUUGAAAAUAAUAAACACUCUUUCCUUCAUUAACAUGCUGAAGGCUAUGGGAGCAAAGGCAAGACAUGACUGCUAGUUACUGUGGGGCCUCAAAAUACACAGCUCCCAACUGGUGCUUCAGUCCACGCUCAGGUCUUUUCUCCUUGCUGCAAUAAGAAAGUGGCAUAAUCA